AACGAACGCUGGCGGCAGGCUUAACACAUGCAAGUCGAACGCAUCCUUCGGGGUGAGUGGCAGACGGGUGAGUAACGCGUGGGAACGUGCCCUUCAGUUCGGGAUAACCCAGGGAAACUUGGGCUAAUACCGGAUACGUGCGAGAGCAGAAAGAUUUAUCGCUGAAGGACCGGCCCGCGUCUGAUUAGCUAGUUGGUGGGGUAAUGGCCCACCAAGGCGACGAUCAGUAGCUGGUCUGAGAGGAUGAUCAGCCACAUUGGGACUGAGACACGGCCCAAACUCCUACGGGAGGCAGCAGUGGGGAAUAUUGGACAAUGGGCGCAAGCCUGAUCCAGCCAUGCCGCGUGAGUGAUGAAGGCCUUAGGGUUGUAAAGCUCUUUCGUCCGGGACGAUAAUGACGGUACCGGAAGAGGAAGCCCCGGCUAACUUCGUGCCAGCAGCCGCCGUAA
rnacentral:rRNA from 1 species